GCAACACUUGCCAGAUAACAAUAUUUUCAAACAAAAAACAAAAUUUGAAGUGGUAACAUAUACAGUGACCAAACAUCCACCAAUCGUUCAUGGAUUAUCAUUAUUCAAAAAGGAGACCCAUAUACAGCCUUAUCUGUAGGGUUUUUUUUUCUCUUAUUCUCCAUUUUUCUUAAUUAAUCUUUCUACUUACAUAAUCUUUCUGAUUUCUCUGUUCAUUCUUGGUCAGUUUCUUUUUUCACAUACAAUAUUUCAAAAAUCCACAACAUCCACCUUUCCUUUGAGUUUUUCUUCCUUGUGCUGGAUUAGUCUCCAAGAAAUUUGCAUUAGUUAGACCUGUUUUAGGCAUUUCUACUUGGCAGUGUAAACUGCUUGUCAUAUUAUCUGCCCUUUGUAUAACUUUGGAAUCGCUUAUGUAUGCCAGCAAUCCAUAGGAACAUGUGAUACUAGUGUUUAAAUGUCCAAUACAAUGCAGCGUGGCAUCAGAAAUAUACUGUAUCUUUGUUAGCUUUCUAGAUCAGUGAUACAUGUUUCCCUUCUUGGGCUUUUUGUUCAUAUUUGCUUGUUCAGGAGAUAAAUGCAUUCAUUUGGUCAUUCUUAUCUUUUAUUAAAGGUGAAAGUUUAUAGUGAAACUAGUGCCACCAUUGGCUGCAUUCCAUCACAAUCAUCUCCCUCCCUCAAAGUAUAUGCCACUAACAUAACAUGUGUGGCUGCUGAAAAUUAAAUGAGCUGACCAAUGCAGCAUUUUGUUUAAAAAUGUGAAAAAAGCUGCUUGGUUAAUAGUCAUCUGGAAAUCCUAGGGCUAUGAGAUCUGGACUUCAAGAAUCUAGACAGCAGCAAAGUGCAGAAAGCUAAUGCUUUCUGCUUUUAUCUAGUAGCCAUGCUGAUUUUUGCAACUCAGAUCCAUGAGCUCACAGGUCAGUGUUUCUAAUCUGAAUUUCAGCUACAGUACUAUAUUAGUAUCAGAAGCAUCUGCUUAGUAUGUGGCAAAGUAUUACCUGCAUAAAUUUCAGAUAGACCAUUGUUUGGGAUCUCACUUGGUUAAUUAUUAUUUGAAUAAAUCAUAAUAUGAAGCAUUUGGACAAAAGGUCACGCUUGGUUUUAACUUUAUAAUAAGUGUUCUCAGAACAAGAUGUGUAGAAGAGCAGAAGGGAGCUUAGAUUAAAAAAACUAGGAUCAUAUUAUGAUCAUGGAACUUUAUUUACCCCACUGAUAAUUUCUGCUGAAUUUGUAUAUUUGAAGAUGAAGAAAAUAACGCCAGUUAUCAUAAUUAUUUUUCCAAAUAUCCUGAAUUCAUUAAGAUGUUUAGGGAGUUGCUAUUUCUGAAGUAGAAUUUUAAGAAUUGGGGAGAAAUAAUAUAAAUAACAAAUAACAAAAUUAUUUCAUAUUUAUUCUGAUUUUUAUACUGCAUUGGGAUUCUGUAGGUUUCUUGAUUUUAUAAAUGACUGAAAUAACUCAGAGAUCAUAAUGGACGCAUUUUGCUUUCCCACAGUCAGGCAAAGAAUAUGUCAGAUUUGCAAUAAUGUCUCCACAAAAUAUACCUUACACACUCACAUAUUUUGGUUCUCAUGCAUUUAAAUUCCUUCAUUGCCAUCACUUAUGGAACUUGAGAUCUCCCAAGAUACUCCUUACUAAUACAGAAAGAAAUGGGAAACAUCAUAUCAUCUCUGGUUUGACAGCUUGAUGGCUUAGUUCUCACUACCAAUAAGCCCAAGCUGUGUCUUUGGGCACAUAUGACUGAAUGCUCCCCCAUAUGAAAAUGUGGAUUAGAAUUAAGCUUACAUGUAUACCUCAAAACAUUUUCUCAUUCUUCUGACAGACACAUAUGGUCAUUUUUGCCUUUUUUUUCCUCAUCCUUUCUCUUUUAGGGAGUCUGCUUCCAAAUUUAUCACAUCACAGGCAAUAAUUUCCAGUUGCACAUGACAAAAUUUACAGAACUGACAUCCAUUUGCAGGGAUAUGGGGGGAGGGGUUGUAUUACUACCACAUUUGGGCUGCAAAUCUUCAGAUGACCCUAUCUGGUGUCCAGAUCUGGGAGCUCUAUUAGUAUGAAAUUAUUUGCAUAAGUAUAUAUAGAUGUGUGAAGAAGUUCUCUAACAUGCACAAAUCAGUCCCAAGUAAUUCUUAGUUUUUCCAUGUAGACAGCUGAAUCUUACAGAUUCCUUCAUGUUAAAUGAAUUUCAAACAAUAAAAUCAUGGAAGGUGUUCAUUACAGUAUCCAAUUACAAAGCAGCAACUCAACUCUUCUGUUAUCUUUUGAUCCCAGCAUGCCUUUUCCUUUGUGAAAGAAAUG